rnacentral:ncRNA from 1 species
AAUUUAACGUUGACGAGAUGAGUAACGAAUAGAAGCUAUUUACAGAGAGCCGGUUAUAAUGAUGAAAACGGUAAUAGUCUGAAAUCGUGAAGAUGGUCUCUGAGUGAUUGGACAGUGAACUCUGAUGAGCUGUUCAUGGGUUGCCCAUUACAGCAUUUAGGUAUAGCUAAUGUACCUAGUAAGGAUAGAAUUGUGAAGUUCUAUCGAAAAAUGGGUGGCAACACGAAAAUAAUAAUAAUUUCGUCCCUCUU